rnacentral:rRNA from 1 species
AUGAACGCUGGCGGCGUGCCUAAUACCUGCCAGUCGAGCGAACAGACGAGGAGCUUGCUCCUCUGACGUUAGCGGCGGACGGGUGAGUAACACGUGGAUAACCUACCUAUAAGACUGGGAUAACUUCGGGAAACCGGAGCUAAUACCGGAUAAUAUAUUGAACCGCAUGGUUCAAUAGUGAAAGACGGUUUUGCUGUCACUUAUAGAUGGAUCCGCGCCGCAUUAGCUAGUUGGUAAGGUAACGGCUUACCAAGGCAACGAUGCGUAGCCGACCUGAGAGGGUGAUCGGCCACACUGGAACUGAGACACGGUCCAGACUCCUACGGGAGGCAGCAGUAGGGAAUCUUCCGCAAUGGGCGAAAGCCUGACGGAGCAACGCCGCGUGAGUGAUGAAGGUCUUCGGAUCGUAAAACUCUGUUAUUAGGGAAGAACAAAUGUGUAAGUAACUAUGCACGUCUUGACGGUACCUAAUCAGAAAGCCACGGCUAACUACGU